rnacentral:rRNA from 1 species
AACGAACGCUGGCGGCAUGCCUAACACAUGCAAGUCGAACGAGACCUUCGGGUCUAGUGGCGCACGGGUGCGUAACGCGUGGGAACCUGCCCUUAGGUUCGGAAUAACUCCCCGAAAGGGGUGCUAAUACCGGAUAAUGUCUUCGGACCAAAGAUUUAUCGCCUUUGGAUGGGCCCGCGUUGGAUUAGCUAGUUGGUAGGGUAAAAGCCUACCAAGGCGACGAUCCAUAGCUGGUCUGAGAGGAUGAUCAGCCACACUGGGACUGAGACACGCCCCAGACUCCUACGGGAGGCAGCAGUGGGGAAUAUUGGACAAUGGGCGAAAGCCUGAUCCAGCAAUGCCGCGUGAGUGAUGAAGGCCUUAGGGUUGUAAAGCUCUUUUACCCGGGAUGAUAAUGACAGUACCGGGAGAAUAAGCUCCGGCUAACUCCGUG